rnacentral:rRNA from 1 species
UACAGAGGGUGCAAGCGUUGUUCGGAAUUACUGGGCGUAAAGCGCACGUAGGCGGACUUGUCAGUCAGGGGUGAAAUCCCGAGGCUUAACCUCGGAACUGCCUUUGAUACUGCAAGUCUUGAGGAUGAGAGAGGUAAGUGGAACUGCGAGUGUAGAGGUGAAAUUCGUAGAUAUUCGCAAGAACACCAGUGGCGAAGGCGGCUUACUGGCUCAUUUCUGACGCUGAGGUGCGAAAGCGUGGGGAGCAAACAGGG